rnacentral:RNase_P_RNA from 1 species
GAAGUCUCCGGGAGGAAAGUCCGAGCAACACAGAGCAUCAUACUACCUAACGGGUAGGCAGGUUUGGGAAAAGCCUGACAGAGAGUGCCACAGAAAACAACCGCCUGCAAAGGUAAGGGUGAAAAUGUGAGGUAAGAGCUCACAACCCGGCUUAGCGAUAGGUCGGGUGGGUAAACCUUAUGAGUUGAAAGACCAAAUAUAUCGGAAUCAAGGGCUGCUCGUCCGCUCCGAGGGGUAGGUCGUUUGAGGCCUGUCGCGAGGCAGGUCCUAGAUUAAUGAUAGAACGGCCUGGUUUCAGGCUGACAGAACUCGGCUUACAGAUG